rnacentral:rRNA from 1 species
AGAGUUUGAUCAUGGCUCAGAUUGAACGCUGGCGGCAGGCCUAACACAUGCAAGUCGAACGGUAACAGGAUUAGCUUGCUAAUCGCUGACGAGUGGCGGACGGGUGAGUAAUGCUUGGGAACUUGCCUUUGCGAGGGGGAUAACAGUUGGAAACGACUGCUAAUACCGCAUAAUGUCUACGGACCAAACGGGGCUUAGGCUCCGGCGCAAAGAGAGGCCCAAGUGAGAUUAGCUAGUUGGUAAGGUAAAGGCUUACCAAGGCAACGAUCUCUAGCUGUUCUGAGAGGAGGAUCAGCCACACUGGAACUGAGACACGGUCCAGACUCCUACGGGAGGCAGCAGUGGGGAAUAUUGCACAAUGGGGGAAACCCUGAUGCAGCCAUGCCGCGUGUGUGAAGAAGGCCUUCGGGUUGUAAAGCACUUUCAGUUGUGAGGAAAAGUUAGUAGUUAAUACCUGCUAGCCGUGACGUUAACAACAGAAGAAGCACCGGCUAACUCCGUGCCAGCAGCCGCGGUAAUACGGAGGGUGCGAGCGUUAAUCGGAAUUACUGGGCGUAAAGCGCACGCAGGCGGUUUGUUAAGCUAGAUGUGAAAGCCCCGGGCUCAACCUGGGAUGGUCAUUUAGAACUGGCAGACUAGAGUCUUGGAGA